AGCAUUUCAGUUAUUUACAGAUUAGCAGUAUUUAAUUAUUAUUUUUUUCUUUUAAGAAAUGUAGCAUUCUACAGGAGAGACCUAGAUGAAAUCAAUCUGGGUGUCUUUGCAGGGUGUAGGAGAAAGUGGCAGUUUGGACUCAUCUCAAAGGACGGGAUAGGCCACAACAAGGACAUAAUGUAGGAUGAGGUCCUUGGGAACAUGAAAAAUGACAGACGCUUGAUUUCAGUAUGACUUUGAAUCUUCUUAGGUCUUUCCUCAAAGUCUUUGGUGGGGAUGAAAGAUCUGCAAUGAAGUGUUCCUUGCUUUACUAGGCUCUGUAAUCUUCUCUCUUACUCUUCUUGAGACGCAAUACUUGCAUGGUUGGCCCAGGUUGACAAAAUGGCGUGAGGAAUACCCCCAAAAGUAUCUAGAGAGUAAUGACCGCUUAGUAAGACCAUAUAUAUGUUCAGAAAUUCUCUGUCAAGACACCACAAAGCAUAGUCUUCCGACUAUCGCAAUACUCAUGGAGAAGAUGAAUUGUUCUCAAAGUGAGCCAAGACAGGUUUUAACUUCUCUAUUUGCACAACUCUUUCUGGCAAUGAUGGGUUUAAGAUAUCCGAAACAGUCAGGCAAAGAGUUAUGUGGAGGUCAGGUCGUACACUAAACUGUUCAAUAUUGAGGUGUUGGACCACGACAAUAUUUUUUAUUUUAUAUAUUUUAUUUUUAGAAAAACAAUCUGUAUUGUAUGUAGUCUUUCACCAAAUUAUUGAAUGUAUCCCUUCCAAGACAAUGUUUAAUUUAUGUGACUACAGCUGAAAUUGCCCUCAUGGGAGGUAGUACCCUUCACUAUAGUAAUUGCUAAAUAAAAAGUACUACAUCUUAUAAAGUUGUUUCAGAUGCUUGAAUAUUAUCCUGCAAAUUAGGAAUCCUCUUUCUUUCUGCAAAAGAAGUCCAACAACAAUUCUUACUAUAUUUGAUUAGAUCCAAAUAAAUCAC